GAGGAGGUUUCCUUGAGGGAGAGAGUGUUGUGCGAGCGUGUGUGGACACGGCGCGAGAAGAGUCAGCUGGUGGAAAAGUGCAGGGUGCGCGUGCGUGUGUUGGAUUGUGCCCUAUGUACGUGCGCUUGGGGAGCACUCUGAAAGGACAAGGUGAGGACAGCAGAAGAAUUUGGGGGGGUAAGCAAAGAGUGUAGAGACCCAGACCAAUCCAAGCGUGCUGCAGGUUGCUGCCCCAGCGCUGGACCCCCGCUCCUCUACCAUUGCUGCUCAAUUGGCCUAGCAGAAUGAAGUUGAAUGAGAGGGGCCCCAUGUGGACACCCUCCUCCUCCUCUCGGGCCCAUCAAUCAGCAGGUGUCUUUCAUCAUCAACUAUUGCAAUAUUGAAAUUGCACCAUGGCCUUAACUGGAUGCCCUGAUUACUUCCUGCAUCAUUCAAACUAUCAGGUAUUUUAAAAUGUUGUAUGCAAAGACUAAUUGACAUGUGCUUAGGAUACUUGUGCUGUAACAACAA
rnacentral:lncRNA from 1 species